rnacentral:snRNA from 1 species
GAGCUGGGUACUUGCUUCAGCAACUAAAAUUGACAUGAUAUAGAGAUUAGCAUAAUCCUUGCACAACAAUGGCAGUAAAAUCAUGAGGCAUUCUAUAUUUUU